UAGACCGCCUGGGGAGUACGGCCGCAAGGUUAAAACUCAAAUGAAUUGACGGGGGCCCGCACAAGCGGUGGAGCAUGUGGUUUAAUUCGAUGCAACGCGAAGAACCUUACCUGGUCUUGACAUCCACGGAAGUUUUCAGAGAUGGAAUGGUGCCUUCGGGAACCGUGAGACAGGUGCUGCAUGGCUGUCGUCAGCUCGUGUUGUGAAAUGUUGGGUUAAGUCCCGCAACGAGCGCAACCCUUAUCCUUUGUUGCCAGCGGUUAGGCCGGGAACUCAAAGGAGACUGCCAGUGAUAAACUGGAGGAAGGUGGGGAUGACGUCAAGUCAUCAUGGCCCUUACGACCAGGGCUACACACGUGCUACAAUGGCGCAUACAAAGAGAAGCGACCUCGCGAGAGCAAGCGGACCUCAUAAAGUGCGUCGUAGUCCGGAUUGGAGUCUGCAACUCGACUCCAUGAAGUCGGAAUCGCUAGUAAUCGUGGAUCAGAAUGCCACGGUGAAUACGUUCCCGGGCCUUGUACACACCGCCCGUCACACCAUGGGAGUGGGUUGCAAAAGAAGUAGGUAGCUUAACCUUCGGGAGGGCGCUUACCACUUUGUGAUUCAUGACUGGGGUGAAGUCGUAACAAGGUAACCGUAGGGGAACCUGCGGUUGGAUCACCUCCUUACCUUAAAGAAGC
rnacentral:rRNA from 1 species